rnacentral:sRNA from 1 species
UGGUAGAUGCACCCUGAUGGAUAUAUCCCGGCACCAAAACGCCGGGAAUUUUUUAA